rnacentral:rRNA from 1 species
UACGUAGGGAGCAAGCGUUGUCCGGAAUCAUUGGGCGUAAAGCGCGCGUAGGUGGCCCUGUAAGUCCGUUGUGAAAGUCAAAGGCUCAACCUUUGAAAGCCGAUGGAUACUGCAGGGCUAGAGUACGGAAGAGGCGAGUGGAAUUCCUGGUGUAGCGGUGGAAUGCGCAGAUAUCAGGAGGAACACCAAUAGCGAAGGCAGCUCGCUGGGACCUUACUGACACUGAGGCGCGAAAGCGUGGGGAGCGAACAGG